GUCAGCUUGAAUGAGUGAUUCAUUAUUCCGCACACGCUCCGGCUCCUCCGCCGCUCCAGCCUGUACCCAGCUGGAUCUCAGGAGAAAUUCCUAGAGUGUGUAAUUGUGUAUAAUGUGAUCAUCCUGCAGCAGGAAAUAGGUUUGUAAGCAUUCUUAGCCAGUACAAUCGAUGUCGUACAGAUAUGGUCUGCAAGGAAACGAAGUGGAGAUACAUAUUGCAGCGAGUCACUGGAGAGCCAACGCAGCCUUCUGGGAAGGACAAGCCCAGCCUGCUGUCCCCACUCUCUCAGGUAUCCCCAGCUCUCCCAUUCCAGGAAGGAUCUGGAGCAAGAGAGCAGCUGUCUGUCUGGAGACCCUGGAGCAUCCUUGUGAUGUGUCUGCUUGAAGCUGUGCUUGGCCCUGGAUUCUCCAGCUGCAGAGGUGGGUCCAGCUCUAAUCUGAACUUGUGCCCACAGCACUUUCAGUGGCCCUCAGCUUCCCGGUGUGUGACCUCCAGCUCACCUGGCCCAGCAGGGCUCCAGCUGAACACCCAACCUUGGCCCAGGGCAGGUUUCCUGGUCAGGAAAUUCCCUAUGGACAGGCCACCUGCUGGGCACUGAGCAGCACACUGGGGGCAUCAGAAUAUCCAGGGGUCAGACACCUGUGAAGCCUCAUUAACACUAUCUUCCUGUCCCCCUUUCCUUUGUCCUCAAAUGGGAACUCACAGAAUAUUUAAUUAUUGAGAUCAGGCUGAAUAUGGAGAUAUUACUCAUCACAGAUUCUGGGGAUAAACAGUUUCCUUUGCAGAAUAAUUCCUUUUUUAACACCCCUCCCUCUCCUUUUCUCCAAAUUAAUUUCCAUCCCAACCAUGAGCCUCUGUAGAAAAUCUUGCCAUAAUCAUUUUGAGCUAAAUAUUCUGUCUAAUCAAUCAAAGCAGUGGAACCAAUUUUGAAGCUGUCACUUUUAAUUUUUCCAAUAAGAAAAAAAUUGAGCAUUUCACUCACAGUGCUGUUGUGAUUCAAGCUCUUCAAACCUUCACUCCACUGCAUCAGUGCUUCAGAGCUGUACUUGAAAAUGUGAAGAGCAGGCACAAUUGCAGAGAAACUAAAAUAAAUUGAUUUUUAGCAGUGAGAAGAAACCUGUUUCUUCAUGUACCCUUAGACCCGGCUCACAAAACCUUUUCUUUUUUCCUUUCUUCCCUGCUUUCUUCCUCAGAGCAAAAAUAACUACAGCAUAUUAGUGAUUUCAUGCAUGCAAAGGGCUGGCACUCAUUAAAGUUGAUGUGUUAUUGAGAGCUUGGUGCACAAAUGCCAACGAAGGGCCAGAGAGCAGAUGUGCUGGGUGCUGGGGUGGGUGAGAGGAUUCCUGAUGCCCCUGGCAUGGGAUUCCUGGGGACACAUCCACGAUGGAGGAGCUGACCUGUGGGAGGAGACAGGAACAGCCUCGGCACAAAAAAUGGCUGGAGAAAUCCAUCCUGGAAAGAACAGGUUGUUAAACACUCUGGCAAGGGCACUUUGUGUUCAGGGUAGGCGUGGGCUGCGUUCCUGCUCAGCGAGGAGCCAUCAAAUUGAGGCUUUGCAAGUCCUCCAGCGAGCAAACAGGAACAUUCUGGUCAGGGGGAGUUGUGCCAUCGCGUUCCUGCCUCCCCGCACACUCAGUGCCAGCCACAGCCGUGAGCUGCCAUUCACUGCUGCUUUUAGGGAUGGAUGUGAACCAGCUCAGGCCCUGCAGGAGCACAGGAGGAGAGGAAAAACAGCAAAAGCAGCAACAGUGCCCUUGAGUUGGACCCCUGCUUGAAUCCAAAACAGAACCUGCCAGUUACUGAGGAAAAAUGAACUUUUUCCCCCUGAAACCAGGACAACCACGUAGAAAAGGGAAAGGAUCCUUCCAACAAAUCCAUACCUGAACUGCCUAUGUUCAGGACCACUUCCAGUUUCACAUUAAUUUCACACCAAGAUAGUCUCAACUGGGAUCCCACGGCUCUGGCGCCGCUCGCAGGGAAGCCAAGCAGUGGUGGCAGGACAGUGCCAGCCUCAGCUGUGGCUGCCCUGUGUGACCCCACAGCCGCCCUGCUGCCAUCCAGCACCCCUGGGCCCAGCACCAUGCACCCAGCAGAGGCUGGCAGGCCCCACAUCUCUCCUCCUUGCUGCUAGCUCCUCUUCAGGAGCCAGUAAGUGGGACUCAGGAGGCACAUCAUCAGCAGGGGGAUGCUGGAGUGGCAGUGGAAGCCGACAGUGUCACUCAGCAGCUGCCUGAUGUCUCUUACCAACCCCCUGCCUCACCCUCUGGCUCUGUUGUCUUGGUUUAUUGUGUCUGUCAAGGACACAGAUUGGGUUUGGAAGUUCUGAGGAUGUGGAGAGCCCUCUGGCAUCUGAGAAAGGAGAUGAAACCUACGAAAUGGAGAAGUUAAUAUGUUUUCAGUUUGCAAGAGAGCUUGGAAAUGCCACUGAUGCUUUAUUAAUCUCUUCUGCCCCUGGAGGACAACAGGCAGCUGCUUUUUCCUCUCUGCUAAAUUUCCUUUACUGGAAGUCAGAGAGGGGCAAGUUAAUUCUAUUUUGGAUACGGAGAGUUUUUGUCUAUGCCUUUCAUAAUGCUUUUGGAUUAUUAAAACUCCUUUAAAACAUGACUCUUUAAUCUAUUUAAGAAGUGCAAUUUUCUUUCUAUGCUGUUUCACCCCAGCAAUUUCUCUCUCCCAGGAAAACCCAAAUGACUCAAGUCUAGCCAUUUUUAUUGCUGUUCUGGGCCUUUCCCCAUCACGUCUUGGCUGCUGAUACUGAGCAAGGACAGAACUCAUCCCAAGGCAGGAUGGGGCCCCCAAAACAAGGAGAAAUGACACCAAAGCCAAGUGUUCUGACAUGAUGAUCGGUUGUAUUUUCAGUCCAUUAAUACACAUUCAUUUACCAGAUAGAAACAGAGUGGAAAGGAAAGCGAUUGUUAGCAGGAACAAGGAUACAAAACUCAAUUCCAGCAGCCUUCACAGAAGGGAUAUUCAGUGUCACAGCAGCACUGAUGGAAGGGAGGGAUGCACAGACCUGUGCUCACACCCCAAGUGGAAGCUCUCCUUUUGUGGAUUAGUUUAGCUAGAGACAUAAUUUUACAAAAACCCCAACAUUUGCAAAACUGACUUUUUGACACUUUUUCUCACUUUCCUAGCAUCAGGACUAAGGAAAGUUGGAAUUAUUUACACAGAGCAGAUUCUAUGAAAAGACACUGGAAGGUUAAAAACAGAAUAAUCACAAAUACUGGAAAAUACAACAAGAAAGCAGGCAGGGAAAGGAAAAUAGGAAAAAAAAAAAGUGAUACCCCAAGAGGAUCAUUGCAUUCAGUGGUCAAUGUAUGGUUAGUGGGGCAGCUCCACUUUGAUACAGAGAUUCACAUGCUGGCCUUGAUUCACUGCCAUCAAGUUACACCCUGGGUUUCAAGCAGGAUUCUGCAGAGCUCCUGAUUUCAGCAGGAUCUCAGCAGUGCAGCAGCAAUUGCUUGUUUGAAACCAGUUGCAGCAUGAGUGCCACAAGCUGUGACAGUGUGUUCACGCUUUGUGGGGCACCCAAGGGGUGCCAGCCUCUGCUCAUAUCCUGGUCUGGACACUGCUGGUUUUCUUCCCUUUGGCCACCACAGCACUGCACCAUGAAAGGUUCUGCUGCUGGUGAGAGGGGUCAGCUUAGCCCAUAAUGGAUUUGGGACUCCACAUGCAGCAGGAGAGGGAAAUGGCAUUAUCCUACAGUACUCUCAUACUUGUAUGGGAGUGUCUCCACAAACACAGCUCUGUGCCCAGACAGAACCCCCUGACUGUCCUUGCUACAAGUGCUCGAGGCUCGUUACACUGAAAUAACAACAGCAAAACACAUCUGCACUUGAUUGUACAGGGAUGCUCCUUUGAAAGGAAUAAAGAUAUUGUAAAUUAUUCAUGGAAGAGUCCCAGCAAGGUGACACCUGCACUAAGGUUCUCCCAGGGACAGCACCAGGAUUGCAAAAUCAUGUUGUGAAAUUUGAUC